rnacentral:rRNA from 1 species
GGAAGUAAAAGUCGUAACAAGGUCUCCGUUGGUGAACCAGCGGAGGGAUCAUUACCGAGUUAUACAACUCCCAAACCCACUGUGAACCUUACCUCAGUUGCCUCGGCGGGAACGCCCCGGCCGCCUGCCCCCGCGCCGGCGCCGGACCCAGGCGCCCGCCGCAGGGACCCCAAACUCUCUUGCAUUACGCCCAGCGGGCGGAAUUUCUUCUCUGAGUUGCACAAGCAAAAACAAAUGAAUCAAAACUUUCAACAACGGAUCUCUUGGUUCUGGCAUCGAUGAAGAACGCAGCGAAAUGCGAUAAGUAAUGUGAAUUGCAGAAUUCAGUGAAUCAUCGAAUCUUUGAACGCACAUUGCGCCCGCCAGCAUUCUGGCGGGCAUGCCUGUUCGAGCGUCAUUUCAACCCUCGAGCCCCCCCCGGGGGCCUCGGUGUUGGGGGACGGCACACCAGCCGCCCCCGAAAUGCAGUGGCGACCCCGCCGCAGCCUCCCCUGCGUAGUAGCACACACCUCGCACCGGAGCGCGGAGGCGGUCACGCCGUAAAACGCCCAACUUUCUUAGAGUUGACCUCGGAUCAGGUAGGAAUACCCGC